rnacentral:rRNA from 1 species
UACGUAGGGUCCAAGCGUUGUCCGGAUUUAUUGGGCGUAAAGAGCUCGUAGGCGGUUCCGUAAGUCAGAUGUGAAAACUCAGGGCUCAACCCGGAGACGCCAUCUGAUACUGCGGUGACUGGAGUCUGGUAGGGGAACACGGAAUUCCUGGUGUAGCGGUGAAAUGCGCAGAUAUCAGGGGGAACACCGAUGGCGAAGGCAGUGUUCUGGGCCAGUACUGACGCUGAGGAGCGAAAGCGUGGGGAGCAAACAGG